rnacentral:piRNA from 1 species
UGUCAUAAGUGACAGUCCAGCUCUGAGCGA